rnacentral:lncRNA from 1 species
GGACUCUGAAGGCCCCUGAGGGGUGCUCCGGCUUGACGCCGGGGCGGCAUCGCUUGCCAGCCCCGAGGGAGCGUCCCGCGCCUGCUCCUGGGGGGUGCCCUGGGAUGACCCCGAGGGGGCGCCCUGCGUUCCUCCCUGGGGGAGGUCCUGCGCCGACCCCCGGGGAACGUCCUGCGCCGCCCCCUGGGGAGCAAUCCGCACCGGCUCCUGAGG